rnacentral:misc_RNA from 1 species
UUUCCAGGAGUUGAAAUAGCCAGAUCAGGCCAAGGAAAGCAAUCCCCACCAACAAAUCCAUUAUCCGUACUCUCAAACUGCCACGUGUUACCCAUUCCACCUCCAGUACCACCGUGGCCGCCAACACCAGCGGCACCAUCUCCCAUACUAGGAAAAGGCCACACUCCUCUCCCAAGCCCAAAGCCCAUCUCCUCAAACCCAGUCCCUAGACCAACCCCAAAUCCUCCCAGCGCCAAGAACCCAGGUCCCUGAGUAUUCAACAAAGAUGUAAAGCUCCCGCACACGGCAGAAGCAGCCGUGGUGCUACUCCCGCUAUCCUUCCCAUCGCCGCCUCCACCACCACAGCCAAACUGUACGGAAGUUCCUUGAUUGGUCAUGAAGGGCACCAAUACAGGAGUAGUUGGUAAAGGGAGAUUAUCAGCUGUGGUGGCAGUGAUAGGACCUACCACAGUUGCAGUAGCACCAGUACGUGACCGCUUGGCAUUCUUGCGG